rnacentral:rRNA from 1 species
AACGUAGGAGGCGAGCGUUAUCCGGAUUUACUGGGCGUAAAGCGUGCGCAGGCGGUUUUGUAAGGCAGGUGUGAAAUCCCCGGGCUCAACCUGGGAAUGGCAUUUGGGACUGCAAGGCUGGAGUGCGGCAGAGGAGACUGGAAUUCCUGGUGUAGCAGUGAAAUGCGUAGAUAUCAGGAGGAAUACCGAUGGCGAAGGCAGGUCUCUGGGCUGACACUGACGCUCAUGCACGAAAGCGUGGGGAGCAAACAGG